CCUAAUGCAAGCAUGGUUUUUAAGUUCGGGAUGUGGGUGAAUUUCCUAGGCGUUGGGUUGUGUGGCUCGAGGUGCUAUUGCCAAGGACCAAAAAGUAAGAGUGAAGUUCAUCCAAGACACAGAAAGACUUAUUUGGGUCUUUAAACCUGAAUUUCUAAACCAAGCCCAAAGACCACCUCUACCACAAACACAGCUUAUACAGUGUCUACCUUUUUCCCUAGGAAAUGUCAAAAGCACCCAUCAGAACCAUUGCAAAUGUAUGAUGCAUUUCCAGUCUCUUCCAUUAAAGGCUAUGGUAAGACAACAUCAGAAAGAAACACAAUAAACAAGAGCUUCCUCUUGAGAAUUCCUCUUUUGGUGAAUGAAUACCUGGGAGCAGAGAGAAAUCAACAGAGCUAUGCCUUUCUUCACAUAUGAGACAGGCUGAUCUUCCUGGUCUUGUUCUCUGGGGUGUGCAGGACCUAGCCAGACAGGACUGCCUGGAAAAUUUAAAGACGGUCUUCCAUAGAAAACCAUAAAAAGAUCACUAGAAACAAUUCUGCUGGCUGAGAUGUUUCAUUCCAGUGAUACCAUAAAGUCUGGCUUCAAAGAUCUUUCCUGAGAUUUGGUCCUUACCUCAUUCAAACACAAAGAGGAAGAGUGGCUUUAAACUUAUGGACUGGUGGUGUUGACACAGCUCAUGAUUUGAUCAGGUGUGUAGUAUUUCUUCUGAAAGCUUGUGAUCUUGGGUUCAGAUGACUCAGUGGGACUCUCAACAUUAAGGAAACAAAAAAUGGAGUGUCUUCAGGAUCUGGACAACAGCUUGAGAUCACCACCUUGCUAAUGUUAAUAUCAGACAGCAGACAACAGUUAAAAGCCAAUGUCAAAAAGUACUUAAAAGUACUGUUGAUUAAAA